GACGUGGAGCAACACUUCCAUACAUUUCAAAAUAAACGCACAGCCAUUUAGUCAACUAUUAGUUGCAAAGUAAAAUGCUCACGUACAACAACAACAUGGAAUGGAUGACAGGACGUAUUGCUAAGCUAACUAGCUAGCUGACUAACUAGCAUGCGCGGCUCCGGACUUCCAUUGGAGCUAAUUGUGUCGAGGUUGUGAAACCACGAGAGCAGUGGGCCGUGUUCACUUACGUCUGGAUGGCAGAUUGGACUCCCCGAGAGCUCUCCUGUCCGCCGAGCUUUUACCACCUCCCGUGCUACUACUUUUCUUGCCCUUCUUCACCACCUCCCAUUUGCCGACCGCGCCAUUUCUCGAGGCCAUGCUUGCAGUCCCUACCAGGUGAUUAAGUAUGCUCCUCUA